rnacentral:rRNA from 1 species
UUGAUCCUGCCAUUAUUCAUAUGCUUGUCCCAAAAAUUAACCCAUGCAUGUCUAAUUAUAAACAAAUCUGUACUGUGAAACUGCAAAUGGCUCAUUAAAUCAUUUAUAAUUUACUUGAUAGUCACUUUAUCAUUGAAUAACCGUGGUAAUUCUAAAGCUAAUACAUGCAAAAAGCCUGACUUCGGAAGGGCUGUAUUUAUUAAAUACAAAACUGACGGCACUUCGGUGUCUUUGGUGAUUCAUAAUAACUUUGCGAAUCGCAUGGCCUUGCGCUGGCAACUUUUCAUUCAAAUUUCUGCCCUAUCAACUUUCAAUGGUAGGAUAAAGGCCUACCAUGGUUUUUACGGUUAACGGGAAAUUAGGGUUCAAUUCCGGAAAGGGAGCCUGAAAAAUGGCUACCACAUCCAAGGAGGGCAGCAGGCGCGCAAAUUACCCAAUGCCAACACGGCGA